AGAGGAAGUAAAAGUCGUAACAAGGUUUCCGUAGGUGAACCUGCGGAAGGAUCAUUAUCGAAUGAAAUCAGAGUCGGUUGUCGCUGGCCUCUUCACCGAGGCAUGUGCACGCCUUCUCUGUUCAUCCACACACACCUGUGCACUUGUGAGACGGAUUAACCCUCUCGGGGGGACGGUCCGUCUAUCAUACAUAAACUCCAAUAUAUAAAUUUGAAUGUAAUUUGAUGUAACGCAUCUUUAAACUAAGUUUCAACAACGGAUCUCUUGGCUCUCGCAUCGAUGAAGAACGCAGCGAAAUGCGAUAAGUAAUGUGAAUUGCAGAAUUCAGUGAAUCAUCGAAUCUUUGAACGCACCUUGCGCUCCUUGGUAUUCCUCGGAGCAUGCCUGUUUGAGUAUCAUGAAAUUCUCAAAAUAAAUCUUUUGUUAAUUCAAUUGGUUUCAUUUUGGACUUGGAGGUCUGCAGAUUCACGUCUGCUCCUCUUAAAUAUAUUAGCUGGAUCCCUGUGAGCUCGGUUCCACUCGGCGUGAUAAGUAUCACUCGCUGAGGACACUGUAAAAAGUGGCCGGGGUUGCUGUAGAACCGCUUCUAAUAGUCUAUUGAAUUAGACAAUCUAUUUAUGAUCUA
rnacentral:rRNA from 1 species